GUGCUCACUUCGGCAGCACAGAUACUAAAAUUGGAACAAUACAGAGAAAAUUAGCAUGGCCCCUGCGCAAGGAUGACACACAAAUUUGUGAAGCAUUCCAUAUUUUU
ensembl:snRNA U6 U6 spliceosomal RNA